rnacentral:rRNA from 1 species
UACGUAGGGGGCAAGCGUUAUCCGGAUUUACUGGGUGUAAAGGGAGCGUAGACGGUUACGCAAGUCAGAAGUGAAAGCCCAAAGCUCAACUUCGGGACUGCUUUUGAAACUGUGUAACUAGAGUGCAGGAGGGGUAAGCGGAAUUCCUAGUGUAGCGGUGAAAUGCGUAGAUAUUAGGAGGAACACCGGCGGCGAUGGCGGCUUACUGGACUGUAACUGACGUUGAGGCUCGAAAGCGUGGGGAGCAAACAGG